rnacentral:rRNA from 1 species
CCUACGGGUGGCUGCAGUGAGGAAUAUUGGUCAAUGGACGAAAGUCUGAACCAGCCAAGUAGCGUGAGGGAUGACUGCCCUAUGGAUUGUAAACUUCUUUUGUCAGGGAGUAAAGCGUUCCACGUGUGGGGUUUUGUGUGUACCAGAUGCAAAAGCAUCGGCUAACUCCGUGCCAGCAGCCGCGGUAAUACGGAGGAUGCAAGCGUUAUCCGGUUUUAUUGGGUUUAAAGGGGGCGCAGUCGGAAUGUUAAGUCAGUGGUAAAAUUUCGGGGCUCAACCCCGUAGUGCCGUUGAAACUGGCGGUCUUGAGUAAAGUAGAGGUGUGCGGAAUGCGUGGUGUAGCGGUGAAAUGCAUAGAUAUCACGCAGAACUCCGAUUGCGAAGGCAGUAUACUGGCGCGCAACUGACACUCAGGCACGAAAGUGUGGGUAUCAAACAGGAUUAGAUACCCGAGUAGUC